rnacentral:rRNA from 1 species
AUUGAACGCUGGCGGCAUGCUUUACACAUGCAAGUCGGACGGCAGCGGGGUAGUGCUUGCACUACUGCCGGCGAGUGGCGAACGGGUGAGUAAUAUAUUGGAACGUACCGAGUAAUGGGGGAUAACCAAUCGAAAGAUUGGCUAAUACCGCAUACGCUCUGAGGAGGAAAGCAGGGGACCUUCGGGCCUUGCGUUAUUCGAGCGGCCAAUAUCUGAUUAGCUAGUUGGUGGGGUAAGGGCCUACCAAGGCGACGAUCAGUAGCGGGUCUGAGAGGAUGAUCCGCCACACUGGGACUGAGACACGGCCCAGACUCCUACGGGAGGCAGCAGUGGGGAAUUUUGGACAAUGGGCGCAAGCCUGAUCCAGCCAUGCCGCGUGUCUGAAGAAGGCCUUCGGGUUGUAAAGGACUCUUGUUAGGGAAGAAAAAGGAGCGGUUAAUACCCGUUUCUGCUGACGGUACCUAAAGAAUAAGCACCGGCUAACUACGUG